AGAGUUUGAUCAUGGCUCAGAUUGAACGCUGGCGGCAGGCCUAACACAUGCAAGUCGAACGGUAACAUUUCUAGCUUGCUAGAAGAUGACGAGUGGCGGACGGGUGAGUAAUGCUUGGGAACUUGCCUUUGCGAGGGGGAUAACAGUUGGAAACGACUGCUAAUACCGCAUAAUGUCUUCGGACCAAACGGGGCUUCGGCUCCGGCGCAAAGAGAGGCCCAAGUGAGAUUAGCUAGUUGGUAAGGUAACGGCUUACCAAGGCGACGAUCUCUAGCUGUUCUGAGAGGAAGAUCAGCCACACUGGGACUGAGACACGGCCCAGACUCCUACGGGAGGCAGCAGUGGGGAAUAUUGCACAAUGGGGGAAACCCUGAUGCAGCCAUGCCGCGUGUGUGAAGAAGGCCUUCGGGUUGUAAAGCACUUUCAGUUGUGAGGAAAAGUUAGUAGUUAAUACCUGCUAGCCGUGACGUUAACAACAGAAGAAGCACCGGCUAACUCCGUGCCAGCAGCCGCGGUAAUACGGAGGGUGCGAGCGUUAAUCGGAAUUACUGGGCGUAAAGCGCACGCAGGCGGUUUGUUAAGCUAGAUGUGAAAGCCCCGGGCUCAACCUGGGAUGGUCAUUUAGAACUGGCAGACUAGAGUCUUGGAGAGGGGAGUGGAAUUCCAGGUGUAGCGGUGAAAUGCGUAGAUAUCUGGAGGAACAUCAGUGGCGAAGGCGACUCCCUGGCCAAAGACUGACGCUCAUGUGCGAAAGUGUGGGUAGCGAACAGGAUUAGAUACCCUGGUAGUCCACACCGUAAACGCUGUCUACUAGCUGUGUGUGCCUUUAAGGCGUGCGUAGCGAAGCUAACGCGCUAAGUAGACCGCCUGGGGAGUACGGCCGCAAGGUUAAAACUCAAAUGAAUUGACGGGGGCCCGCACAAGCGGUGGAGCAUGUGGUUUAAUUCGAUGCAACGCGAAGAACCUUACCUACACUUGACAU
rnacentral:rRNA from 1 species